AUGGGGUUGGGGCAAAAAUUGUGACAUCAGGGUCAAAAAAUAGAAAUGUAAUAAAUGAAAUGUUUUAUUUCUUAUAUGUUUCAUGGGACAAUCCUUCAACUAAAUCCACUUACAGGCAUUUGAUACCACCCUGCAUAUUGGAGUAAACUGAGAAACAAGAUUUGACAAAAUACCACCGUUACAUGGACAUCAUUUAUCAUCCUUGCUAAGACUAUGCUCUCCCACUGUCAAAAUAAAGGGGUUGAUCUCCAUUACUCUUGAUAAAUAUGUUGCUAACUACAUUAUUAGUCACUUUAUUCCACACUUUCCAACAUGGCAUAUAUAUUUUGAUAGAUUUAGCAUCAAUAAAUGGAACUUGAUGCUCUGUGUGUAUACCAGUGCCAUGUUCUGUGUCAUUCUUUUUUCUCACCAGUCUAGAAAAUUGAAUUUAUGAUGGCAUGUAGAACUAAAUAGUUGAGAGAAGUCAUGCCUCAACAGAAUGGAAUAUUCUCUUUGGAAAAACUCAAUUACUCUUUCUGGCCUAACCUUCUAUGUUUGGUGUUACCACCGUUACAUGGACAUCAUGUCUCAGUAACAGAGGUAUACUUUGAAGCAUUGUUAAGUUAAGGUCCAUUAAUGGCCAUUACACACCAAAUUCCACUUUGUGCCUUAGAAUAUUUGCACAAGAUCAAUUGAUUAUACUAAAGAAAAACAUUUUUCAUGUCAAAUUCUUUGCAAAUAAAAGCAAAUUAAAUUAGAGUUUAAAAAAGGAAAAAUGUACAAAAUUAUUAACAAAUUAUAUUUAAAAUCAUACUACGGUAAUCCUCAAGUUUCCACUUCCGUCUAUCUGUGGAAACAUUUAUGUUUCUGUCUAAAGGGGAAAAAACGAAACAGUGCUAUCUUAUGAUCUCCAAAUCUUUUUACUUUAAAAUAUCUCCUUCAAGAUAUUACUUUCAAAUGUACAUACCACCGUUACAUGGACAUCAUGUCUCAGUAACAGAGGUAUACUUUGAAGCAUUGUUAAGUUAAGGUCCAUUAAUGGCCAAUACACACCAAAUUCCACUUUAUGCCUUAGAAUAUUUGCACAAGAUCAAUUUAUUAUACCAAAGAAAAACAUUUUUCAUGUCAAAUUCUUUGCAAAUAAAAGCAAUUUAAAUUAGAGUUUAAACAAGGAAAAAUGUACAAAAUUAUUGAUAAAUUAUAUUUAAAAUAAUACUACGGUAAUCCUCAAGGUUCCACUUCUGUCUAUCUCUGGAAACAUAUGUUUCUGUCUAAAGGGAAAAAAAAACAAGAGUGCUAGCUUAUGAUCUCCAAAUCUUUUAUUACUUUAAAAUAUCUCCUUCAAGAUAUCACUUUCAAAUGUACAUACCACCGUUACAUGGACAUCAUGUCCUUGUAAUGGUCAUAUUGAAUAGUAUGACUUAACAUUCUACUUAUCAACACACUAAAUGCGAGUUAACUCAUCUUACUCAAGUGUAGAAAUACAACAUCUACAGGCAAGCUUCUGAAAUGCAUAUCAAUGAACAGGUUACAAGUUUAUGAACUUCAAGAAGAUCGGUGACCCAAUGACAACUGUGUCAGUUUGGAAGAGGAUUCUGUCAAUGUCACAAAAUGGAGAGAGGUAGAAUUGUGCCUCGCCAUCAGGCCAGGAGUACAGGUCACCAGAUUGACACUUCAUGUACUGAAGAUAUACAUUUUAACCUUCAACAGAG